rnacentral:rRNA from 1 species
UCCUACGGGAGGCAGCAGUGGGGAAUAUUGGACAAUGGGGGCAACCCUGAUCCAGCCAUGCCGCGUGAGUGAUGAAGGCCCUAGGGUUGUAAAGCUCUUUUGUGCGGGAAGAUAAUGACGGUACCGCAAGAAUAAGCCCCGGCUAACUUCGUGCCAGCAGCCGCGGUAAUACGAAGGGGGCUAGCGUUGCUCGGAAUCACUGGGCGUAAAGGGUGCGUAGGCGGGUUUCUAAGUCAGAGGUGAAAGCCUGGAGCUCAACUCCAGAACUGCCUUUGAUACUGGAAGUCUUGAGUAUGGCAGAGGUGAGUGGAACUGCGAGUGUAGAGGUGAAAUCCGUAGAUAUUCGCAAGAACACCAGUGGCGAAGGCGGCUCACUGGGCCAUUACUGACGCUGAGACACGAAAGCGUGGGGAGCAAACAGGAUUAGAUACCCUGGUAGUCCACGCCCUAAACGAUGUCAACUGGUUGUUGGGAAUUUACUUUCUCAGUAACGAAGCUAACGCGUGAAGUUGACCGCCUGGGGAGUACGGUCGCAAGAUUAAAACUCAAAGGA